rnacentral:rRNA from 1 species
UACGUAGGGGGCUAGCGUUGUCCGGAAUCAUUGGGCGUAAAGAGCGUGUAGGCGGUCCGGUAAGUCCGCUGUGAAAGUCGGGGGCUCAACCCUCGAAUGCCGGUGGAUACUGUCGGGCUAGAGUGCGGAAGAGGCGAGUGGAAUUCCUGGUGUAGCGGUGAAAUGCGCAGAUAUCAGGAGGAACACCUAUUGCGAAGGCAGCUCGCUGGGACGUCACUGACGCUGAGACGCUAAAGCGUGGGGAGCAAACAGG